GACGGGGGGCAAGUGUUCUUCGGAAUGACUGGGCGUAAAGGGCACGUAGGUGGUGAAUCGGGUUGAAAGUCAAAGUCGCCAAAAACUGGCGGAAUGCUCUCGAAACCAAUUCACUUGAGUGAGACAGAGGAGAGUGGAAUUUCGUGUGUAGGGGUGAAAUCCGUAGAUCUACGAAGGAACGCCAAAAAGCGAAGGUACCUCUCUGUGUCCCUACCGACGCUGGGGUGCGAAAGCAUGGGGAGCGAACAGG
rnacentral:rRNA from 1 species